CAGACGUGUGCUCUUCCGAUCGCAAACAUUAACAGUUUGACUUCUUAAAUUCUCUGGACAUUAAAUGAAUGCCAGGGAAAAAUAUGCUUGUGUUGCGGCUGAUGUGAUUGACUGAAAUGAAGUCCUGCAGACAGUGCAUAUGUUGUCUCUGGGAUGAAGUGGAUCAGAAGAUGUAGAAUGAAGGAGUAUGUAACUUUCGAUUUUUGCCAUGGGGACUCCAUCCUGCACGGACAACAUAAUUAACGUAUUGACAGUGACAUGUAGUAUUGGUGUGUACGAGUUCUGUUGCAUCAUUUAAUGUUGUACAUUUAAAACAUUUUGUUGUAAAUGUUAACUUUUUUAGUCUAGCUCCUGUACAUGUCAACAUGAACUGUGUUCAGAACUGGAGCUUCAAAUAUUUUACCACUUGGUCUGGCUUUCAUAGAUCUAUUAAUAAUCCAGGCAAAAUCAUGAGAUAAUACAAUUUGAUUUAAAUCCAUACAUGUAAAGAUGAAUUGUGUCAAGAUCAAAAUAUUAAUAUCAGUUGAGUGUUAAUCUAAGUGUGUCUGCCUUGUGCAAUUUUGCAUAGCAUUGUUCUGCCUUUAUAGAACAACAUAUUUCUUUGAACAAUGUAAAUGUAACGUUUGACAUCAGGUCAUAAAACGGUCAUACAGAAGAUGUAGGAAAUGAUGUUGGUGUGAUAUAGCAUGGUGUUACAUCAUAAGCCCUCCCUAUUUAAUUCAUCCUCCAUAGGAUGUCGCUAAGUCAAAAAGUGAGAGCUAGUCCCUGUAUAAAUGGGAAUGGUUGAGAAUAAUAAUAACAUGCAGGUACAUGGUUUAGUCUUUCCUAGCAAAUUUCCUGAAUCACCAUUAUGACGCAAAUGACAAAUUAACUCUCAUUGUUCAAUUUAUGUACAUAAGUGUCAUGGUUUGCCGACAUGAGAUUUUAUUCUUAACUUAUCUCAUUUCAUGUAUAUAAUUCUGUACAUUUGUAUUUUAGUUUUGUCUAAAUUUCCGAUUACUAAAAAAGCACAAAUCAUAUAGGGUGGAAUAUCUGGACCACAAACAUAGAACUAUGAUGUCAUUAAUUAUAAACCUCAGAUACACAUUGAUAUAUCAACAGGGGGAACACGGGAUACAACACAAAACAAGGUUUUUAAGUCACUAAUAUUUUUUUUCUUUCCUUAAUUUAUGGUGUAAAAUAUGUAGAUGAAAUUUAAACUGAUCAAUGAUCAUGUAAAUCUAAUACAUUAUUUGUUGUAUAGAAAAGAUGAUGACCGAAUAAAAGAUGUUUUGUAAGAAUA